GUCCCCGUAGCUCAGCUGGAUAGAGCAAUCCCCUCCUAAGGGAUAGGUCGCAGGUUCAAAUCCCGCCGGGGACACCA
rnacentral:tRNA from 1 species